ACUAGAACGCUUAUGUAUUUGUGC
rnacentral:siRNA from 1 species